CUCCAGAUUGCAGCCAAUCAUAACAGGGAAUAUUUUUCAAUUGGCCAAUGAAAUGCCUGGAAGGAACGAAUCCCCUUUUCGUAUUAACGAAGAAAUAUCAACAAAUAGUUUCAACGACGUUGGCAAAUCCAAAAAUGUAUUCUCUCCGAAGGACAUCUUGUCUUUUCGUAAUAUUGAGAGAUUCACUGACCGCAGCUUGGAUAAUCAAAGAAAGUUUCACGUAUUGAACUUCCGAAGGAAUGUUGUUGAAAGGGCAUGUGGUGAUCGAAUACUAGAGAAGAAGAGGAGAAAGAAAAAGGAGGGAAAAAAUGUAGGCAAAAGAGAAAGAAGUUCCCCGGUUUCUUUGUUUCUCUCGUUUUCGCGAGGGAUAGUCACACACGCACUCACUCAUUCGGAGGGCCGCUCCUGUGACACGUAAUGGUGCGCGCGAUUCAUAUCGGAGCGAACGCACUGUAACGCGAGGAACGCUCCGCCCUAUGAACGUCGAGAGAGUCCAGUAUCAAGAAGGAAAGGACGCCUGUGGCAACAACUGUGGUUUCGUUUUCCUAAGUUGUUGCCGCCGCCGCUGCUACUGUUGCUGUUGCUGUUGCUGCCGUUGCUGCAUCUUGGUAAGUGUGUACGCGAUAGCAAGAGAAAGAGAAUUUGAUAGAACGCGAGAAUCGGCGAGCACGCGCGAUACGUGCUUCAUGUAACUACAUAAGUAAAACCUUGUAUUAUAUACCUAUACAUACACACACACACACACACACACACACAUAUGUACAUGCGUGUUCGUUUCCCUUAUUCCUUCUUACUCUUCUUUUCCUCCUCGUUCUCCUCCCUCAUCCUUUUCCACCUUUUCAUCCUUCUGUCUUUCUUGCUUUGAACACAUCCGUAUCUCAUAUCUCAUCCCCCGUUCAUUCGCGUCCCUUUCGCGCGCAGUCUCCGUCAUUUUUCCUCUCUAUUAUAUCCAGACAGACCUUCGAAAUCUCGUGUCGUUUAAACGUUUCCCUCGUUUAUACAUUUUCCCCCCGAUAGGUUCUCUCUCUCUCUCUCUCUCUCUCUCUCUCGCUCGCUCUCUCUCUCUCU